rnacentral:rRNA from 1 species
GACAGAGGAUGCAAGCGUUAUCCGGAAUGAUUGGGCGUAAAGCGUCUGUAGGUGGCUUUUAAGUCCGCCGUCAAAUCCCAGGCUCAACCCUGGACAGGCGGUGGAAACUACCAAGCUGGAGUACGGUAGGGCAGAGGAAUUUCCGGUGGAGCGGUGAAAUGCGUAGAGAUCGGAAAGAACACCAACGGCGAAAGCACUCUGCUGGGCCGACACUGACACUGAGAGACGAAAGCUAGGGAGCGAAUGGGAUAGAAACCCUUG